rnacentral:rRNA from 1 species
GAUUGAACGCUGGCGGCAGGCCUAACACAUGCAAGUCGAACGGUAACAGGAAGCAGCUUGCUGCUUCGCUGACGAGUGGCGGACGGGUGAGUAAUGUCUGGGAAGCUGCCUGAUGGAGGGGGAUAACUACUGGAAACGGUAGCUAAUACCGCAUAAUGUCGCAAGACCAAAGAGGGGGACCUUCGGGCCUCUUGCCAUCGGAUGUGCCCAGAUGGGAUUAGCUUGUUGGUGGGGUAACGGCUCACCAAGGCGACGAUCCCUAGCUGGUCUGAGAGGAUGACCAGCCACACUGGAACUGAGACACGGUCCAGACUCCUACGGGAGGCAGCAGUGGGGAAUAUUGCACAAUGGGCGCAAGCCUGAUGCAGCCAUGCCGCGUGUAUGAAGAAGGCCUUCGGGUUGUAAAGUACUUUCAGCGGGGAGGAAGGGAGUAAAGUUAAUACCUUUGCUCAUUGACGUUACCCGCAGAAGAAGCACCGGCUAACUCCGUGCCAGCAGCCGCGGUAAUACGGAGGGUGCAAGCGUUAAUCGGAAUUACUGGGCGUAAAGCGCACGCAGGCGGUUUGUUAAGUCAGAUGUGAAAUCCCCGGGCUCAACCUGGGAACUGCAUCUGAUACUGGCAAGCUUGAGUCUCGUAGAGGGGGGUAGAAUUCCAGGUGUAGCGGUGAAAUGCGUAGAGAUCUGGAGGAAUACCCGGUGGCGAAGGCGGCCCCCUGGACGAAGACUGACGCUCAGGUGCGAAAGCGUGGGGAGCAAACAGGAUUAGAUACCCUGGUAGUCCACGCCGUAAACGAUGUCGACUUGGAGGUUGUGCCCUUGAGGCGUGGCUUCCGGAGCUAACGCGUUAAGUCGACCGCCUGGGGAGUACGGCCGCAAGGUUAAAACUCAAAUGAAUUGACGGGGGCCCGCACAAGCGGUGGAGCAUGUGGUUUAAUUCGAUGCAACGCGAAGAACCUUACCUGGUCUUGACAUCCACGGAAGUUUUCAGAGAUGAGAAUGUGCCUUCGGGAACCGUGAGACAGGUGCUGCAUGGCUGUCGUCAGCUCGUGUUGUGAAAUGUUGGGUUAAGUCCCGCAACGAGCGCAACCCUUAUCCUUUGUUGCCAGCGGUCCGGCCGGGAACUCAAAGGAGACUGCCAGUGAUAAACUGGAGGAAGGUGGGGAUGACGUCAAGUCAUCAUGGCCCUUACGACCAGGGCUACACACGUGCUACAAUGGCGCAUACAAAGAGAAGCGACCUCGCGAGAGCAAGCGGACCUCAUAAAGUGCGUCGUAGUCCGGAUUGGAGUCUGCAACUCGACUCCAUGAAGUCGGAAUCGCUAGUAAUCGUGGAUCAGAAUGCCACGGUGAAUACGUUCCCGGGCCUUGUACACACCGCCCGUCACACCAUGGGAGUGGGUUGCAAAAGAAGUAGGUAGCUUAACCUUCGGGAGGGCGCUUACCACUUUGUGAUUCAUGACUGGGGU